rnacentral:tRNA from 1 species
GUAGCGUAGCGUGCCCUAUCGCAUUUUUCGGAUGCAAAGGUCACACGUUCGAAUCGUGUCGGGUGCGCCA